rnacentral:rRNA from 2 species
GGGGAAUAUUGGGCAAUGGGGGAAACCCUGACCCAGCAACGCCGCGUGAAGGAAGAAGGUUUUCGGAUUGUAAACUUCUGUCGCAGGGGACGAAAAAAAUGACGGUACCCUGUGAGGAAGCCCCGGCUAACUACGUGCCAGCAGCCGCGGUAAUACGUAGGGGGCAAGCGUUGUCCGGAAUUACUGGGCGUAAAGGGUGCGUAGGCGGCCAGACAAGUCAGAUGUGAAAUACCCGGGCUUAACCCGGGGGGUGCAUUUGAAACUGUAUGGCUUGAGUGUAGGAGAGGAAAGCGGAAUUCCUAGUGUAGCGGUGAAAUGCAUAGAUAUUAGGAGGAACACCAGUGGCGAAGGCGGCUUUCUGGACUACAACUGACGCUGAGGCACGAAAGCGUGGGGAGCAAACA